UACAGAGGAGCCAAGCGUUGUCCGGAUUGACUGGGCGUAAGCGCGCGCAGGCGGUCCUUUAAGUCUGAUGUGAAAGCCCACGGCUCAACCGUGGAGGGUCAUUGGAAACUGGGGGACUUGAGUGCAGAAGAGGAAAGCGGAAUUCCACGUGUAGCGGUGAAAUGCGUAGAGAUGUGGAGGAACACCAGUGGCGAAGGCGGCUUUCUGGUCUGUAACUGACGCUGAGGCGCGAAAGCGUGGGAGCAAACAGG
rnacentral:rRNA from 1 species